UACCAUAAGCUUGAUUCAUAAGAAUAGAUUCAUAACAUGUCCUUGAUAAUACGUGUAAAAAAGGAUCAUUCAUAAUCUAUUGUGAAUGUCAAAAAUUAAAAUCAAAAUUUAACUUAAAAGUUUGGUAGUAGUGAAUUUAGUGCUGACAUGUUCAUACUUGUAUCCAAAUUUAUGCUAGCUGCAUUCUUGAAUAAUUCUCUUAGAAACAUCUCAAGCAUGUUUUAGUUGUUUUGUAAAUGAGCCUAAUGUUUUAGUUUUUGUUAUUGUUGUUGCUGUUGUUUUUUCUUAUCUCAGUUGAAGUUUCAGUUCUAAAAAGAACAACCAUGUAGUAACAACAUAUCUCACUUGUUAAAUAUGGUAUAUAUACUUUUGACCUUUCAUUGUAACAGAAUGAGAAAUGUUUAUGAAAUGUAUCGUCAUAGGAGAGAUGAGAACCAUCCUUCUUUGUUGAUCAGUUAAGAUUUUGAUGUCCACGUGUAUAAAAGAGGUGGCCACCUCAUUUUUCGUGAAAACAACAACAUUGAGAAGCAACACUUUGAAAGAUAAAACCGUGAAUGAUUUCUUCACCUGGUUUGCAAAAAAUAAGAUGUAUUAUUAAUUCCCUUCAAUAAUAACAAUUGGUAGAGGAAAAUCAUGAUCUAUGAUUCAUAAUCUUAUUUCAAUGAGCUUCUCAAUUGGUUCAAGUUUUUUUUGCCACAUUUUAAACUUAUGGCCUUGAAAAUUAGAGUAGGAACAAAUUUAGCUGUGUACUUUUCAUCUAGAUAGUGUAUACUUUCUUAAAUUUAGCUAGUAAGUUCCAUAAAAGAACUAUACUGUGAUGUAUGAUUUUGUAGAGUUAGUUAUGUUUUUUUGUUAUCAUGAAUCCAUUGACUCAAUGAUAAACCAAAAAUAUAGAUCUUUAAAUAAAAACUUAACUACUUUGAAUUUUUUUUAGUAAAAAAUUUAUGUGAUAAAUUUAAUUUUUAAAUUACAAUACAUGGUUUUUAUUUUGUGUGUGUGUGCGCGCGCAAUAGAUUAUAAAACAACUACACAUCCAUGAAUCAUUUACUCUAUUCUAUAAUAUUAUUACUUACAUUACAACCACUACUGUUGUUGCUGCUGCUUCAAUCAUGCUUCUGAACAUGCAAAUUGUGUGUCAAAGUCGAGAAUAUCAAUCAAAUUUUCACAUUAAAAAUAUUGAUGACAUAUGAAAGUAAAAAUACUAUCAAAGAAAAGUCUAACCUGCGUUGGCCUAAAGCUUUGAUGGUAGCCUCUCUAGUAUUGUGUCUGCUCCCCAUUGACCUUGACAAUACUUGUUUGGUAAUUCGUCGAUUUGAUAAUAUGAUAUGAAAAUAUGGUCAUAUACUAUAUUUGAAAAUGGUACAUGAAAGGUGUUUGAGGAAAACAAUAUUUUUUUGCAAAAAAUGUGAAGAACAUGCAUCUUCUCAGACAUGGUAGCAUAUAUCAAUGAAAGUGUUUCGCAAGAAGCUUAUUUGUUGUGUGUGUGUUUCAUCUACCACAAUGUUAGUAACAAUCUCAAUUGUUCAUUGUGUAAUUAAUAAUUCAUUGAGAGAAAAUAGUGAAAUGUUUCUAGUAUAACACAAAGAAGGAAAAAAA
rnacentral:lncRNA from 1 species